AAUAAAGUGCCUGAUUAAAGGAUUAUUUUGAUAGAAUAAAUAAAGUAGUUAUAUUCUACCUUUAUUA
rnacentral:tRNA from 1 species